GCACGAGAAAGUGGAGCAAUCCAUGAGUAAAGUGGCGCACGGGUGAGUAACACGUGAAUGAUCUACCUCCGAGUGGGGAAUAACUUAGGGAAACCUGAGCUAAUACCGCAUAACACUUACGAGUCAAAGCAGCAAUGCGCUUGGAGAGGAGUUCGCGGCAGAUUAGCUAGUUGGCGGGGUAAUGGCCCACCAAGGCGAUGAUCUGUAUCCGGCCUGAGAGGGCGCACGGACACACUGGAACUGAAACACGGUCCAGACUCCUACGGGAGGCAGCAGUGGGGAAUUUUGCGCAAUGGGGGAAACCCUGACGCAGCAACGCCGCGUGGAGGAUGAAAUCCCUUGGGAUGUAAACUCCUUUCGAUCGGGACGAUUAUGACGGUACCGGAAGAAGAAGCCCCGGCUAACUUCGUG
rnacentral:rRNA from 1 species